rnacentral:ncRNA from 1 species
CGAUCUCAACUCAUACGUGACUACCCCCUGAAUUUAAGCAUAUUAAUAAGGGGAGGAAAAGAAACUAACUAGGAUUCCCUUAGUAGCGGCGAGCGAAACGGGAAAAGCCCAGCACUUAGCCCAUUAAUUUUAACUAAUUAACUGGGGAUGCAGUGUAUGGAGAGUUCAUUAGCUUAUUGCAAUAGAUAUGUAAAUUCAAGUCCAUCUUGAAUGGGGCUACUUAACCCAUAGAGGGUGCCAGGCCCGUAGAAAUUACUAUCUGCAAUUUGCG